rnacentral:lncRNA from 1 species
ACAGCAGAUAGACAGGACUGACAUCCUAUCCUAAUGGACAUGCUUUCCUAUGGUGCUUGACCAUCUAUGACCUCUAUGAGCCCGACUCUCUCUCUAUAGGUCCGACCAUAUGAACCUAGGGCUCUGAUACCAAUCUGUAACAGCCCGGAAACCGAACUGCUACCGGCGCUAGGAUCCAGAUCGGCUUAAGGCCGCCGGGACCCGUAGCAAGCCUGCUGUGAACUCUGUGUACCUGUGAAAUCCCAUACAUGAUCAUACAU